rnacentral:lncRNA from 1 species
GCCAGCUGUUGGUCACACCAAAAGCGAGUUGAGAUUUUCUCAUAUCUGAAUACACUCCAUACAUGUGGUGUAGCAGUCACUGCCAUUUCAACAGGCCUCAAGAUUAACAUAAAGAGCGCUGCUUGAUCUGCAGGGUGUGGUGGCACACAGGACAGGGCUGGUGGACCUGUCAGAAUGAGGCAGAUCACGGACGUUUCCUGCUUGUAUCUCUCCCUGGAAAAAAGAGUAUCCUCUACACUAGGAAGAAGCAGGAUAUCAGAUUAUAUCCACUGAUGCUAGAGAGCUGGGUGACCUUUUGCAGAAGGGUAUUACAUCUUGGAGACAAAACUUAAGGACAUCAUCUAGAUCCAUCACAUAAGGAUUCUGUUUUCUUUCUUCAAAACAAACUCCAGAGAGAUCACCAGUAGCAUGACUGAGUCGAGUUGUGGCCUUACAGACAGCAGAUUCUCUGCACUUCUAGUCUGAUUGUAG